GUGCCAGCAGCCGCGGUAAUACGAAGGGUGUGAACGUUGCCCGGAUUUAUUGGGCGUAAAGUGUUUCGUAGGCGUCUUGAUAAGUCGUGCUUCAAAGACUCUGGCUCAACCAGAGAAAGGGGCGCGAUACUAUCAGGAUUGAAUGAUGUAGGGGUCACUGGAACUGUCGGUGUAGGGGUGAAAUCCGUUGAUAUCGACAGGAACUCCGAAGGCGAAGGCGAGUGACUGGGCAUCUAUUGACGCUGAGGAACGAAAGCGAGGGGAGCGAAAGGGAUUAGAUACCCCUGUAGUCCUAGCUGUAAACGAUGGAGACUAGGUGUGGCCUGUAUCGACCCGGGCCGUGCCGGAGCUAACGCGUUAAGUCUCCCGCCUGGGGAGUACGCACGCAAGUGUGAAGCUCAAAUGAAUUGACGGGG
rnacentral:rRNA from 1 species